CUCGAGGCCAGAUCUAGAGUUUGAUCCUGGCUGGGGACGAACGCUGGCGGCGUGCUUAACACAUGCAAGUCGAACGGAAAGGCCCUGCUUUUGUGGGGUGCUCGAGUGGCGAACGGGUGAGUAACACGUGAGUAACCUGCCCUUGACUUUGGGAUAACUUCAGGAAACUGGGGCUAAUACCGGAUAGGAGCUCCUGCUGCAUGGUGGGGGUUGGAAAGUUUCGGCGGUUGGGGAUGGACUCGCGGCUUAUCAGCUUGUUGGUGGGGUAGUGGCUUACCAAGGCUUUGACGGGUAGCCGGCCUGAGAGGGUGACCGGCCACAUUGGGACUGAGAUACGGCCCAGACUCCUACGGGAGGCAGCAGUGGGGAAUAUUGCACAAUGGGCGGAAGCCUGAUGCAGCAACGCCGCGUGCGGGAUGACGGCCUUCGGGUUGUAAACCGCUUUCGCCUGUGACGAAGCGUGAGUGACGGUAAUGGGUAAAGAAGCACCGGCUAACUACGUGCCAGCAGCCGCGGUGAUACGUAGGGUGCGAGCGUUGUCCGGAUUUAUUGGGCGUAAA
rnacentral:rRNA from 1 species